rnacentral:lncRNA from 1 species
UCCAACAACCAACUCACCGGCGAGGUUCCGGCGGAGUUGUUGAAGCUGAAGCUUAAUCAGUUCAACGUCUCCGAUAACAAACUCUCCGGCAAGAUCCCUUCUGGUUUUCAACAAGAUAUUUUUCUACCGAGUUUUUUGGGUAACCCGGAUCUCUGCGCCCCGGAUAUGGAUCCGAUUCGACCUUGCCGAUCCAAACCCGAGCCCCGGUUUAUCCUUUUUAUCUCCGUCGUCUGCAUCGUUGCACUAAUCGGAGCUUUGGUUUGGCUUUUUAUCAAAACCAAACCGUUAUUCCAGAGAAAACCGAACCGGACCGAUAAAGUAACCAUUUUCCAGCGGAUCGGGUUCACAGAGGAAGACAUAUACCCGCAAUUAACAGAAGAUAACAUAAUCGGGUCGGGCGGGUCGGGUUUGGUUUACAGAGUGACACUAAAGUCAGGCCAAACGCUCGCGGUGAAGAAACUUUGGGGUGGACCGGGUCAUAAACCCGAAUCCGAAUCCGUUUUCAGAUCCGAGGUAGAGAUUCUGGGUCGGGUCAGACAUGGUAACAUAGUGAAGCUUCUCAUGUGCUGCAGCGGCGAAGAGUUUCGGUUUCUAGUGUACGAGCAUAUGGAAAACGGCAGCUUGGGCGACGUUUUGCAUUCAGAGAAAGAACAUCGCGCCGUUUCUCCGCUGGAUUGGACGACAAGGUUUUCGAUCGCGCUUGGUGCAGCUCAAGGACUUGCUUAUCUACAUCAUGACUCUGUUCCGGCGAUUGUUCACCGUGACGUCAAAAGCAAUAAUAUAUUGUUGGACCAUGAGAUGAAGCCACGUGUUGCUGAUUUCGGUUUGGCUAAACCGUUGAAAAGAGAAGACAAUAAUGGUGUCUUUGAUGUUUCUCCUAUGUCUUGUGUUGCUGGAUCCUACGGCUACAUUGCUCCAGGUUCGAAUUCUAAAUGCUAAACCGAAAUAACAAAUAUUUUUUACUGUUAUUUUUUAUUCUGUUGUUGUGAUUGCACAUGCAGAAUAUGGUUAUACGUCGAGAGUGAAUGAGAAGAGCGAUGUGUAUAGUUUCGGUGUCGUGUUACUCGAAUUGAUUACGGGUAAAAGGCCAAAUGAUUCUUCGUUUGGGGAGAAUAAAGACAUUGUUAAGUUUGCAAUGGAGUCAGCUUUGUCUUACUCUUCUCCAUCACCUGAAGACAAAGCUAUGAAUCAAGAUUCACUUGGAAAUUUUCGAGAUCUUCGCAAGGUUGUGGAUCCAAAGAUGGAACUUUCUACGAGGGAAUAUGAAGAGGUAGAGAGAGUUCUCGAGAUUGCAUUACUUUGCACGUCUUCGUUUCCUAUUAGUAGGCCGACCAUGAGGAAAGUAGUAGAGCUGCUCAAAGAGAAGAAGCCACUUGAGUGAGACGGUGCUCGUUUCUUCAUCUGGUUUUAAUACUAAGAUUGUUACUUAAUCAUAGGUGGGCUACUGGAAAACUAAUUUUAAAAACUUAAAUAGCUAGUUAUCUUUUUUUUUGUUAAUUUAAAGAUUAAGAAGCAUGGACUAAGCUAUAAGAUUUUGCAAACUUUAAAUUUAAUAGUCUAAAAGACAAUUAUUGUUGAUGUUCUCGAUAAACCAAUAUACGAGGCAGAUAUAUGUACCAAUCCUCUUCGAAUAAACAGCGUUGGUGUAACUCAUGCUCCAAAAGCAUUUUGCAUCACCAUCAAGAGUGUUUUUGCUUCAAGAGGGAUCUAUGUUCAAGUUUAUUCCAAGACUUACAUUGAAGACAAAUGCCGAUGUUUGAAUUGUUAGUACCUUCUACUCUUGCUCGUUUUAUCUUAAAUUAAUCAAGAGUUUUAUUGACGUUAAUCUAAAGAUAUGAUAGCUUUUGUAGUCCAAUUAAUAAUCUCAUUAAAGAUUCAUGUUAAAAUUGAGUUCAAAUUUCAGAAAGACGAUUCAUUUACCCAUUAUACCACCAGUUAAAUAAGAACUUAACAUUUUUUUGGUUAUAGUAAAAAUAUAAUUUUAGACAAUUGAUCUUCAUAAAUCAGUUAAUAGAUAUACAUAUACAAUUGUAAUAUGUAAAUUUUCAUAAGACAUAUGUCAGUUGUAGAGUUCAUGAUAGCAUAAAUAAAAAUGCUAAACAUGAAUUUUUACAGUUGUCCAGUUUAGAAUGUAAUAAUAAUAAAUAUAAAUUAAUGUUGGAAACACAAAUGUUUUUCUUUUACAAACUAAAAAAACUCUUGGGCCAAAGAAUAUGGUAUUGGGCAGUAACAUCUGGCCCAUUAGAUAUCCACAAGCCUUCUUCUUUCAAUUUAGGGCUCCAGAGACGACCACGUCGCCUCUGUCACGAAACCGCCAGUGACGCUAUCGUCUUUCACAUCCGAUAAGCAUAAGAAAAGCAAAUCGAAGAGAAGAGAAACAACGCAACAAUUGGAAAAAAAAAUGGCGUCUAAGGCUAUCUUCUCCACAAUCCGCCGAUCUCUAACGAAACCACGCGGCGGCGCAGUUUCCCGAGGCCACCACUUGUCCACCUCCGCCGCGACGGCGUCCGAAUCCUACGCAGGCGACGAACACGCGAUCGUGAUGAAAGGAGUUCGAAUCUCAGGCAGGCCUCUCUACCUCGAUAUGCAGUCGACGACCCCGCUCGACCCCAGAGUCUUCGACGCGAUGAACGCCUCUUCCAUCUACGACUACGGGAACCCGCACUCGCGCACGCAUCUCUACGGCUGGGAAGCGGAGAACGCCGUCGAGGUGGCUCGAAUCCAGGUCGCGAAGCUCAUCGGCGCCUCGCCGAAGGAGAUCGUGUUCUUGUCCGGCGCCACGGAGGCGAACAACACGGUGGUGAAGGGCGUGAUGCACUUCUACAAGGACAAGAAGAGGCACGUGAUCACCACGCAGACUGAGCACAAGUGCGUUCUCGACUCGUGCAGGCAUUUGCAGCAGGAAGGCUUCGAGGUAACGUACUUGCCGGUUAAAACCGACGGUUUAGUUGAUUUAGAGAUGCUGAGAGAUUCUAUUAGACCGGAUACCGGUUUAGUUUCGGUUAUGGCUGUGAACAAUGAGAUUGGCGUGGUGCAACCUAUGGAGGAGAUUGGUAGGAUUUGCAAGGAGCAUAAGAUCCCGUUUCAUACCGAUGCUGCUCAAGCUAUAGGGAAGAUACCUGUUGAUGUUGAGAAGUGGAACGUUAGUUUCAUGUCGAUGAGUGGGCACAAGAUCUACGGACCGAAAGGUGUUGGUGCUAUGUACGUUAGAAGGAGGCCGAGGGUGAGGCUCGAGCCGUUGAUGAACGGUCCGGUGAGUUGCCGCCGUAUCUAUGCUAUGGGAAGAAACUUGAAAAGCUAAUUAGUUUCAGUAAUCAGUUAAGCGGCGAGAUCCCGGAAACUUACGGUGAGUGCGACUCGCUUAAUUAUAUUAGAAUGGCGGAUAACAAACUCUCCGGCGAAGUUCCGGUUAGGUUUUCGGAGCUUCCUCUUACUCGUCUCGAGCUAUCCAACAACCGAUUACAAGGUUCGAUUCCUCCGUCGAUAUCCAAAGCUCGUCAGCUCUCUCAGCUCGAAAUCUCCGGAAACAAGUUCUCCGGUGCGAUUCCGGUGAGAAUCUGUGAUCUCGGAGGACUCAGGGUCGUCGAUCUCAGCCGUAACCGUUUCUCAGGAUCUAUCCCGUCUUGCAUUAACAGAUUGAAGAAUCUGGAGAGAUUGGAGAUGCAGGAGAACAUGCUCGACGGCGAGAUCCCGAGUUCGGUGAGUUCAUGCGCCAAGUUAACCGAGUUGAAUCUCUCCGAUAACCGCCUCCGCGGCGGAAUCCCACCGGAGCUCGGGGAAUUACCGGUUUUGAACUAUCUGGAUCUCUCCAACAACCAACUCACCGGCGAGGUUCCGGCGGAGUUGUUGAAGCUGAAGCUUAAUCAGUUCAACGUCUCCGAUAACAAACUCUCCGGCAAGAUCCCUUCUGGUUUUCAACAAGAUAUUUUUCUACCGAGUUUUUUGGGUAACCCGGAUCUCUGCGCCCCGGAUAUGGAUCCGAUUCGACCUUGCCGAUCCAAACCCGAGCCCCGGUUUAUCCUUUUUAUCUCCGUCGUCUGCAUCGUUGCACUAAUCGGAGCUUUGGUUUGGCUUUUUAUCAAAACCAAACCGUUAUUCCAGAGAAAACCGAACCGGACCGAUAAAGUAACCAUUUUCCAGCGGAUCGGGUUCACAGAGGAAGACAUAUACCCGCAAUUAACAGAAGAUAACAUAAUCGGGUCGGGCGGGUCGGGUUUGGUUUACAGAGUGACACUCAAAUCAGGCCAAACGCUCGCGGUGAAGAAACUUUGGGGUGGACCGGGUCAUAAACCCGAAUCCGAAUCCGUUUUCAGAUCCGAGGUAGAGAUUCUGGGUCGGGUCAGACAUGGUAACAUAGUGAAGCUUCUCAUGUGCUGCAGCGGCGAAGAGUUUCGGUUUCUAGUGUACGAGCAUAUGGAAAACGGCAGCUUGGGCGACGUUUUGCAUUCAGAGAAAGAACAUCGCGCCGUUUCUCCGCUGGAUUGGACGACAAGGUUUUCGAUCGCGCUUGGUGCAGCUCAAGGACUUGCUUAUCUACAUCAUGACUCUGUUCCGGCGAUUGUUCACCGUGACGUCAAAAGCAAUAAUAUAUUGUUGGACCAUGAGAUGAAGCCACGUGUUGCUGAUUUCGGUUUGGCUAAACCGUUGAAAAGAGAAGACAAUAAUGGUGUCUUUGAUGUUUCUCCUAUGUCUUGUGUUGCUGGAUCCUACGGCUACAUUGCUCCAGGUUCGAAUUCUAAAUGCUAAACCGAAAUAACAAAUAUUUUUUACUGUUAUUUUUUAUUCUGUUGUUGUGAUUGCACAUGCAGAAUAUGGUUAUACGUCGAGAGUGAAUGAGAAGAGCGAUGUGUAUAGUUUCGGUGUCGUGUUACUCGAAUUGAUUACGGGUAAAAGGCCAAAUGAUUCUUCGUUUGGGGAGAAUAAAGACAUUGUUAAGUUUGCAAUGGAGUCAGCUUUGUCUUACUCUUCUCCAUCACCUGAAGACAAAGCUAUGAAUCAAGAUUCACUUGGAAAUUUUCGAGAUCUUCGCAAGGUUGUGGAUCCAAAGAUGGAACUUUCUACGAGGGAAUAUGAAGAGGUAGAGAGAGUUCUCGAGAUUGCAUUACUUUGCACGUCUUCGUUUCCUAUUAGUAGGCCGACCAUGAGGAAAGUAGUAGAGCUGCUCAAAGAGAAGAAGCCACUUGAGUGAGACGGUGCUCGUUUCUUCAUCUGGUUUUAAUACUAAGAUUGUUACUUAAUCAUAGGUGGGCUACUGGAAAACUAAUUUUAAAAACUUAAAUAGCUAGUUAUCUUUUUUUUUGUUAAUUUAAAGAUUAAGAAGCAUGGACUAAGCUAUAAGAUUUUGCAAACUUUAAAUUUAAUAGUCUAAAAGACAAUUAUUGUUGAUGUUCUCGAUAAACCAAUAUACGAGGCAGAUAUAUGUACCAAUCCUCUUCGAAUAAACAGCGUUGGUGUAACUCAUGCUCCAAAAGCAUUUUGCAUCACCAUCAAGAGUGUUUUUGCUUCAAGAGGGAUCUAUGUUCAAGUUUAUUCCAAGACUUACAUUGAAGACAAAUGCCGAUGUUUGAAUUGUUAGUACCUUCUACUCUUGCUCGUUUUAUCUUAAAUUAAUCAAGAGUUUUAUUGACGUUAAUCUAAAGAUAUGAUAGCUUUUGUAGUCCAAUUAAUAAUCUCAUUAAAGAUUCAUGUUAAAAUUGA